rnacentral:tRNA from 1 species
GCCGCUGUGACGAAAUAGGCAGACGUAACGGACUUAAAAUCCGUGGGUAGAAAUACCGUGCCGGUUCGAGUCCGGCCAGCGGCACCA